rnacentral:misc_RNA from 1 species
UCAAGUAUGUGAUGCAGAGAGUGGCAGAUGUCUUCAAUGAUUCUAAUAUAACCUAUAUAUGUUUCCUUGGAUAAAUUGAGGUUCCAAAACUAGAACUUUCACAAUUUUGUUGGGUAUUCUAAAUUUUGCAGGAUUUAAUAUAAGUACGUGGUUUUAUCUUUCCUUGACGGUAGACAAUUUCUGCUAAGAACUCAAUAUUCUUUUGUCCUUAUUCUAUUGUAUACAAGGAUAAAUGUUGUCGUUGAUACCCUUGAUAACCAAUCAAUUCUGCAAAUCAGAGUAUACAUCAUGACAGGGAUGACAACUUCCGGACUUCGCUAACUUUCUCCAUAUCAUGACUUAGAGGUCCUUGAACCCAGCCCCCAUCAAUGGACUCAAUACUUCCGUUCAACCCAUCAUCUAUAAAGUCACCAACCCUUUUCACUUUAACUUCCUUUGGCUGGACUGGGUACCUACCAGAGAAGCAAGCAUAACAAUAAUUUGGAGAAUCAUCUCCCAACAAGUUCUUCAAUCUAUCCAAUGGUAGAAAGGCAAGUGAAUCACACCCAAUA